AUUGAACGCUGGCGGCAGGCUUAACACAUGCAAGUCGAGCGAGCGGCGGACGGGUGAGUAAUGCCUGAGAAACUGCCUGAUGGAGGGGGAUAACUACUGGAAACGGUCGCUAAUACCGCAUACCAUCGGAUUUGCCCAGAUGGGAUUAGCUAGUAGGUGGGGUAAUGGCUCACCUAGGCGACGAUCCCUAGCUGGUCUGAGAGGAUGACCGGCAAAACGGGAACGAGGCCACGGUCAAGAUUCCAACGGGAGGCAGAAGGGGGGAAUAUUGCACAAGGGGCGCAAGCCUAAUGAAGCCAUGCCGCGGGGGGGAAGCAGGCCUUCGGGUUGUAAAGUACUUUCAGCGGGGAGGCGUUACCCGCAGAAGAAGCCCCGGCUAACUCCGUGCCAGCAGCCGCGGUAAUAC
rnacentral:rRNA from 1 species